rnacentral:rRNA from 1 species
GACGAACGCUGGCGGCGUGCUUAACACAUGCAAGUCGAACGGAAAGGCCCUGCUUUUGUGGGGUGCUCGAGUGGCGAACGGGUGAGUAACACGUGAGUAACCUGCCCUUGACUUUGGGAUAACUUCAGGAAACUGGGGCUAAUACCGGAUAGGAGCUCCUGCUGCAUGGUGGGGGUUGGAAAGUUUCGGCGGUUGGGGAUGGACUCGCGGCUUAUCGGCUUGUUGGUGGGGUAGUGGCUGACCAAGGCUUUGACGGGUAGCCGGCCUGAGAGGGGGACCGGCCACAAUGGGACUGCGAGACGGCCCAGACUCCUACGGGAGGCAGCGGUGGGGAAUAUUACACAAUGGGCCGGAGCCUGAUGCGGCGGCGCCGCGUGCGUGAUGACGGCCUUCUGGUUGUAAACCGCUUUCGCCUGUGCCGAAGCGUGAGUGACGGUAAUGGGUAAAGAAGCACCGGCUAACUACGUG